rnacentral:tRNA from 1 species
GAGCAUAUAGCUCAGUGGUAGAGUGUGUGCCUAGCAAGCGCAAGGUAUUGGGUUCAAUCCCCAGUACCUCCA